CCUUUACAGCGUUUCUUUUCAUUAUAAAACAAGGAGGAGGGAAAAUUAAAAGAAAAAAAAUCGAGGGGAGGGGCUGGAGGGUAUUAUGACAUUUUUCAGUCAAAAAUAAUACUACGUUGGUUUCCAUAGCGAUUUUGGGACCUUUACGAUAAAUCGGAUUUCGCCGCACCUCGCUGUAUCAUCGAGGCCUGGCUUUCUGUUUACCAAACGAAGAUAAAAAAAUAAAACAAAAACUUUAAUCGGGUAAUAAAUGACUUCAUCAAAAAAAAACGAAAACCAUAAAAUAAAAAAAAUAAAAAUCACACUGAUGGACCGUUGACUUAAAACCCUGCAAUUACCUGUAACAGUGCAAAAGUAGAGUACAAUAAAUGUUGCUCUGGUCAUAACAGUUUCUGCAGAUUGCGUGACGAUUAUAUGAAGCUAUAUAGAGCCAGUGUUGGAGCUGAACAGGGCUUUAUAUGGACAGAACCAGAAGCCCCUAUACAAACACCACCACUUCGUCACACCCAGAGGUUUGAUCAAUUUCUAGGACGGUGAAGCCAGGGACGGCCUGAUGGCAACCCCAGACAGCUCUAGGAAAACGGGCAAGUCGCUCAACCUCUCCGGCGGACAGAACAGGCGUUAUUGUAUACGGAUCUGGGAUAAAAAGUUUUGCUCUUUCAACGAUUUAACAGAAAAAAAAGAAAUUAUUGGUACAAAUAAGGCAAAAGAAGAAAAUCCUAUAGGCCACAUAUGCUGGUCACCUCCAAACGACAUAAAAAAAAAAAAAAAAAAAGAAAAAAAAUUAAUGAGCUUAAUUUUGGCAGGUUCAGUGAUAAAGUGUAAACUGAAAUAGCAGAAGAGAGUAGGUGGAUUUCAAAUCUUCUGGAUUGGCUUGUGUGCAACAUUGAACAACACCGUCAUAUAGGCCCUGGGAACAUGACUUUCGAAGCAAGAGACGAAUGCACCAAAAGCUACACGCGCGUGUCCGCAUGCAUCUUUGGAAUAGAAAACCACGUUCCAUUCACCAUGAAGUAAAAGUUUAGAUAUUUUUUUUAUGGAAAAAGCCACAAUCUUGUAAUCACGGUCCUUAUAUAACUCACUUGACAUUUUCUGAAUCUACAGGUCGGACAACAGCGUUUGAGAUUUCCUGACUUUUUCAGAGAGAUAUAUAUAUAUAGCUAUAAAGACAAGAAAAUAGUCAAGAUAUACACUUAACCCAAUGUAUCCUGAAGAGGACCCUAUAAUGAUUUCGGUCCAAUUGUGUACCUCUCUUCUGGCACAACCAAAUCAGGCUGUGUGGAAAAUUAGUUUUCACUCAACGAUGCAAGAAAACCUAAACUUCCUUUUGGCUAGUAACAAAAUAAAACCAGAAAAGCAUUUUUCAAAAUAAAAGCUCUAGUAGGUUAGGUAUGGCAACUGAAGGCAUUAAAUAUUUCGCCUUUUUUUACAGUGGAAAAUACACUCGCUGUCCUUCCAUUGAAUAAAGUCCCACUGGGGGGGCUCCGAUGAUACUAAUGUCAUAUAUAGACGAUAUAUUGAGUCGACAUGUGCAUGGUACAUGAUCAAAGUGUAGCUAUGUUCUCUCAUCAAGCAAGGGAGAAGUCGUAGUGAUGGUGGGGGCGGGAAGGAGAAAGACGAUGCCAUAAGAGAAGACGGAGAGAGAGCACCAUGACGGUCAAGAGACAUGGAAAGCACCUGGUAUACCUUAACGUCCCACGAUCCAUUAAUGAACUACUAAGCCGUCGAGAAGAAAAAAAAACAACGGGUCAACAAUGUUGUUGUUAAGCAACCAAGCUGUUGUGCCAUCAUGCCUUGAUAAUGUCAUCCAAGGACAUGCAGGGCUUUUCCCUGUCCAGACCCAUAGUGUGGCUAUACGAUCCAGUAUGAUCUAUCCACUUUGGUGACCCAUCUGGGGUGUUGGCAUUGCCGUCUGUGAGCCCUGAUGGCUCACCGUGUCCUGGAUGGAGAUCAGGGACAGAAGAGGCCCGUAAGGACGUGUCAAUCCAACGGAUCAGCAGCACCAAUGGGGGAACAUUGGUGUUCACUGGACAAAGUGGACGUCAACUCGCUCACUCGAGACCGAGGAGAAGCUGCGAGUGGACUCGAUGAAGUGUAGUGUAGGGGACCGCAAGAUUUAAAUCAAUCAGCACGUCGGUUGAAACAGUCGAUGGACGUUCUUCGAUGGACGAGCGAUGGGCCCAUCGACCGGUCGAUUCAAGAGCCCACAGAUUGCUCUGAAGCGGCGACCAAGCAGUGGACCAAGAUGGGAGGUCUCACUGGAAAUUAAACGUUGGUUUGGAGACUUAUCGACUGCCACACGUAGCACCUGAAGCAGCGCAGAAGGAGGAUGUGUGUUUUCUGUACCGCUUCAUGUCUCUCAACCAGUCAGCCAGCAUUGACAACCGACGUUUCAGUUGUUGUUGAACAACCUACUUAAAUCGACUGAAGAUUACGAGAAAAGAAAAGGAAAAACCCUGUCUCGUCCUUUUUUGGGAAGUAUGCUGGACUGGGAACGAUGACCUUGACAGCUGCAACUGUUUAGCCCGGCUUUACGGUCACUUGGGAUUUAGCUGCUGGCUCGGCACUAGUACGAAGAGCGCUUGAGACUGGAGCUCCAUUUCCACUGGGAUGUUUUGGCAGUUUAAACAGAGCACCAGAGACUGACUAGACUCACAGGCCAAAGGAACUAGCCCGUCUAGCUAGAUGUUAGCACCACAGCUAAGAUGACAAAGGGUUCAUUGGAAAGGCACAACCACAGGCGUUGUUGGAGGCUUUCAAGUGGGGUCUAUGAUGAACUGCCACCGCGGUUGGGAGUUGACUGAUUGAGAAGUGUCUCCUGGGAAGCAGGGACGAAAAAUGGCCGCGUUGAGGGCCCCUUACAGGCCCACCCAGCCUCCAGCACCAAGGCAGUCGCACACUGGACACACACUACCUCCUUCAUAUCCACCCCACCACGUGACGCUGCGCUCCGGGUCCCGUCUGGUGUAAGACCUGCUUCAAACUGACACUCUUCAAGAAGGUUCCAUGCUAGCAAAAAUGUCCCAGGUCCAAAAGCAACAUAGUUAUUAGUUAUUAUAACAUAGCUGGCUAAAAAUCAAUCAAUGCACGAUUUAGGCUUCCAAAUGACACAGGCAGCAACAACUUCUACAAAAUGGGCUUCAUUAAACAUUGUACUGCUCUUCAGGUACAGCUCUAGUUAGGGUGCGUCACCCUAAAAUAAUUGUUCCAUAAUCCAAAGAAGCACCAAAACACACGUUGGAUAUACGCCCAAGAAUACAGCAUGAUGUCAAAAAUCAAAAGCCUCAAAGCAGGUUUUGUUUCGGGGUGACAGCUCACCAGGGUUAGCUUAUUUUUUUCUCGGUGGUCCAAAGACCGCGCUAGGGUUAUGAUAAACACUUGCCUACGAUAGUCUUAGCACCAGAUAGAACGGAUCAAACCUGCCCACACCCCGAUUCCCUUUUGAUCCCCUACGCCGGAGAGAAGGUGGACACAGCCUGGUUUCGGUCUACUUUGUGUUCCAGAUCGCAUAUUUCCAUCGCCAUAGAAACAGAAACGUUACUAAACGAGGCCCCCCUCGUGUCCAUAGGGGCCAGAAUAACAAUGUAAUGUACGGGAUAAUGGUCUUAAUGCUCCAUCUUCUCCUAUGAACCAAUUUCCAAAUGUUUGAGCUCCAGCAAAUGUAAUCAUGUUUAAAGGCUACAUGUGUUUUUAAUAAAUAGAUCACAAUAGCAAUCAUUGCUUUUAGUUGAGAUUCCCCAAAUGAAUGUCAUAAUCCAAUAAAGUCCAUUAUAGUGACAAUUGACUGAUAACGCUAGAAUUACAGGUUGAAAAUACACCAGAGCAUUUCUCCAAGGACCAAAUAAACACCACAUAGCCCGCCCAAGAAUUGUUGGAUCUUACCAUCAAAUGUACAGAACCAAUGGAAAUCAAUGAGAUCUAGAAAGUGAGAGACCACUGCACCAGUUCCCCAGAAGUGUUUCACAUUCCUAGGGGGGCAUUUAGCUGCGACGGAUACACUUCAAUAGCUUAAAAACAGUCUAGAGAAUGGAUAAACAGAGUGUAUGUGUGUGUACGUGUGUGUACAUGUAUGCUUCAAAUGAUUCAAACUGAAAAAAUAACAAAAAUAGUAUUUUUUUUUUUCCCAUGUAAGUUUUCACUGAACGGACACUUAAGAGUAAAAAGGCUUAGAGGAGGAUCGAGUAAAGUGAAUAAGAACAAAAGACCGAGAGAGACGGGGACUCAAACAGGUCAAGAAUUCGGACUGCAGUCAAAGUGUUCAUUUUGUUUUGCUAAAUCCAGAUUUUUUUUCAGUCAUGAUCUUUCAAAUACGUACUAACCAUCUUUUGGAAUUGGCUGCAAAGAUAGGGCACACAACACACCUUGCAGUCCGACCAUACACAGACACCAAGAAGCACAGAGAACUUUAGUUCACAGCCAUGUGAUGAUGGAUGUGGGAAGUCUGUAUGUGUUUGUGUAUAUGCAGGUUGCACAUUUAAAAACUAUUGACAGAGGUGCAGCAGAUUGUGAAUACUAGUCUCUUCUUCUUCAUUGUCUCAUUCAAACGAUUGAUUCAAGGUGUCCGCUCCCUGCUAUGGUCAACCGGGUCUGGUUGAGUUUCUCUCGUUUGCAUUUGUCACUACCUCCGCGGCUGUAGAGAUUGGUAGUAGGAGCAAGAAUGGUGGAGAACUUUCUUCUUUUGAGUUUGGGGUAGCUAUAUUUUUUCAUCCAAUUCGACGUAACCGAUUGCGGACCGUAUAAACACACCCUGACAAUGUUUACCAAGUCAUUAGAUCCUUGGAGCACCAAAUGCAGAGUAAAAUGAAUUUAAAACCAUGUUUGGCAAUGCCGUGGUCAAUUUGUCAACUCUGGGACUGAUUGUUGUUGGAGGGGCAGCUUAACUGAGU
ensembl:lncRNA